rnacentral:piRNA from 1 species
UGAACUGGGAGAGGACAAAGCUGU